CUACAACCUCAGGUCCUCAGACCGACCAGCCCAAGGAACAUCUCACCAAUUUUAAAUCAGGCAGCACCGAACCCCAGAGAGAGGCAAUGACCUUCCCAGGGGAUUUCUACAAAUUAAUAGAAAAACUGGAACUCCACUGCCCACUGCAGCACCACCAUGUCUUUCGGACAGUACCUCUUGCCACAUGGAUAAUACUGGAGGCUGCCAUGGGAGAAGUCUGCACAAAAAGAGCAAGUUUAAGAGCUUCAGGAGUCAUAAAUGGCUUGAGAAGAUUAUGCUAGAGAUUGAAGCAGAUGGAAGAUUCUAGAAACAGAAAGCAUUCUUUUCAUUGGUGUGAGUCUUGAAUAUAAAUGGAAAUCAGAGGUCUGUAAUAGCAGGCCAGUGUGGAUAAGGCAGUAAGGUUUUGAGUCUGAGGAGAUGGCUGGGGGCAGUUUGUAGACUUAUUGUCAGUCCAGUGUAGAAUUUGAGAAUAUAGCCAGGGCUUAAGGUUCCAGUUUCAAAUUAAAGACAAAAGAAAUCAGCAAUACCAAAAUGAAGACAGAAGCCUGGGAAUUGUGCCUCAAGAUCUGGACUGAGAGGACAUUUCUACACAACAGCUCCCCUAAGGGCAGGGCUAUGACCGUUGUUGCUAAGCUGUCACCAUCUCUCCUUCCCUAUUAGACUGGCUUCUGUGGGGUAAUUAACCAGUACAAGGAUGUAUGGGAAGCUCUUCUGAGAAGACCUCACAUUAAAACAAAGUGUUGUUAUUCAA
ensembl:lncRNA LINC01013 long intergenic non-protein coding RNA 1013